AAACAUUUAACAGCUGAGUGCGUAAUUAAUUUCACGAAAUGGAUAAGGCAUUGAACAUGUAUUCAAUUGAACUACAGCGCAACGCAAGUCGUAAAAGUAAAGUGUGGGAGUUUUUUGGUGUCUUGCAAGCUAAAGAAGAAAACAAGUUCAUCGAAGAAGACAAGGUUUUUUGCAAAUUGUGUUUGGAUGAACAGAAAAAAGAAGACGAAACAACAAUCAUUUCAUGUGCUAAAAUUCAAUCAUAUUCUAAGACAACUAAUUUCAAUUUCAAUCAAUUUCAAUGAAUCUCAAAACUGUCAAGUCAAGAAAAGACAAUGAAUCUCAAAACUGUCAAAUCAAGAAAAGACUGUUAUUUUGUUUUAAUUUUAGUUUAAGUUGUUAUUUCGCUUUACUUACUUAUUAAUUAUGAAGUCAAUAAUUUCAGUUUAAUUUGUUAUUUCGCUUAACUUACUUAUUAAUUAUCAAGUCAAGAAAAGACUCUUAUUUAGUUUU